rnacentral:rRNA from 1 species
AAAGCACCAAGGAGCAGGUAUCAGGCACAACCUGUUAGCCCAAAACACCUUGCUACGCCACACCCACACGGGCACCCAGCAGUGAUAAAUAUUAAGCAAUGAGUGAGAGCCAACUCAAGCUCGACUUAGUUACGAUUAUUAGGGCCGGUAAACCUCGUGCCAGCCACCGCGGUUAUACGAGGGGCCUAAAACAACGGACACCGGCGUAAAUUGUGACUAGAGCACCUUCCUACACCAUUGGGAAAUAAACAAAACUCAAUCGUAAAACCUGAGCCAAAAGAAAUAUACCUUCCCAACUACAAAGAAGCUUGAACCCACGAAGACUAAGAAACAAACUAGGAUUAGAUACCCUACUAUGCUUAGUUGUUAACAUGAUACCAAAAACCCGGGUAUCCGCCAGAAAAUUACACGCGAAAAGCUUAAAACUCAAAGGACUUGGCGGUGCUCCGUAUUCGCCUUAGAGGAGCCUGUCCUAUAAUCGAUAACCCACGCUUUACCUCACCAUCUUUUGUCAAAACAGCCUAUAUACCGCCGUCGCAAACUUACCCCAUGAGGGCAAAACAGUAAGUAAAAUAGUAACUCACUAACACGUUAGGUCAAGGUGUAGCUAAUAAGAUGGAAGAGAUGGGCUACAUUUUCUAAGACAGAACACACGGCAAAGAGCAUUGAAAUAUGCCCUAAAAGGUGGAUUUAAUAGUAAGAUAGAAAAGAAAACCUAUCUUAAAC